rnacentral:antisense_RNA from 1 species
UAGCUAAGGGAGAAGUCUCCCCUAGCCUUGCUGUAUUAUUGGCGUGUACGUCUGCGAUGCCUUGCCCGGAUUCGCUUAUGUAUACGCCUUUUCUUUUG